rnacentral:rRNA from 1 species
UACGGAGGGUGCGAGCGUUAAUCGGAAUUACUGGGCGUAAAGGGUGCGUAGGUGGUUAGUUAAGUUUGUGGUGAAAUCCCUGGGCUCAACCUAGGGUGGUCCACGAAGACUGGCUGACUGGAGUUGUGGAGAGGGUAGUGGAAUUUCCGGUGUAGCGGUGAAAUGCGUAGAGAUCGGAAGGAACACCAGUGGCGAAGGCGGCUACCUGGCCAACAACUGACACUGAGGCACGAAAGCGUGGGGAGCAAACAGG